GUCAUCCGAGCUAACGAACUAAUCUCGCCGGUCACAAGCCUACGAAUCUAUGCUGCAUCUACAUAUCAUAAUAUAUUUUAUCGAACCACUAAGUUUCACAAAUAUUCAUACAUAAUAUUUUUAUUUUAAAAAUCUCUAAUUAAGAGAAAGAAGGCCGUACGAUGGUCAACCCCUCGUGUCACCCGAGCAAAUCUGGUCGGCCACAAGCCUACGAAUCCGGGCUUGCAUCAC
rnacentral:lncRNA from 1 species